rnacentral:rRNA from 1 species
UCCUGGCUUAGGAUUAACGCUGGCGGCGUGCCUAAUACAUGCAAGUCGAAUGGUAGUAGCAAUACAAACCAUGGCGAACGGGUGAGUAACACGUAGGCAACCUGACUUUAAGACGAGGAUAACCGUUGGAAACGACGGAUAAUACUGGAUAGGACAUCAGAAAGGGCAUCCUUAGAUGUUUAAAGGUUAUUAUGCCACUUAGAGAGGGGCCUGCGGCGCAUUAGCUAGUUGGUGAGAUAACAGCCCACCAAGGCGAUGAUGCGUAGCCGGACUGAGAGGUUGAACGGCCACAAUGGAACUGAGAACGGUCCAUACUCCUACGGGAGGCAGCAGUAGGGAAUUUUCGGCAAUGGGCGCAAGCCUGACCGAGCAACGCCGCGUGAACGAAGAAGUUAUUCGUAAUGUAAAGUUCUUUUAUCUGGGAAGAAAAAACAAAUUGACGGUACCAGAUGAAUAAGCUCCGGCUAACUACGUGCCAGCCGCUGC